rnacentral:lncRNA from 1 species
GCUCUCCCAAAAACUCUGGUGGUCCCAGCUCCUUGAACUGCUUAGCGGUGACCAUCCAAGAGUUCCCAGUGUUUCCACCUGUAUUUUGAACAGGAUUCGCUCUCGCUUGAUGUUGCAUGAAUUGCAUAAAGCCUCAUAACAUCCCAUCGUUCAUUGUUUGGUCGGUGUUAUUGUUUUCCUGAGGAUUAUUGCCUUCUUGAU